GUGAAUCAUCAAAUUUUUGAACGCAUAUUGCACUCUCUGGUAUUCCGGAGUGUAUGCCUGUUUGAGGGUAAUUAAAAAGACUCUUUAACCACUUUUUUUGGUCAAAGGAAAUGAGUUCUCCGAGUAUAUAGCGGUAGCUAAAAAUAAAUGGUCAAGUCUCGUAUUAUUCAAGACGCUUAUUAAUAUUAUUUCGCGAAAUCUUCAUAAU
rnacentral:misc_RNA from 1 species